AGUAUGACAUCUGUCAUCUAGAUUAAAAGUACGCAAUAUCCUCAGGACUGCUCAGACGCUCGGUUCUACCUAUUUUUUAAACUUGUAAAUAGCGAUUUCUAUUCUAAAUUACAUAUUUAGGAAUUAACAAAUUUUGUAGGUAUAAUGAUGUUGUAAAGUAGUUGAUUAAUGGUACUUACCGAUUUAAACGGACGCUUCUUAACAGGACUAGGCGAGACGAAUCACAUAUCGCUAAUAUGUUUGUUAAAUUGACAAUACCGAUAUCUUGGAACUACAUUUUAUUUUUUUUAAUGCUUGUCCAUUUAACCAUGUUGAAAAUUGUCACCUGACAAUGACUAUCACAAUAUGGUAUUAUUGGCCCAGCAAAGAAACAAUGAAGCUGGAAAUAGUGCGACAUAAAAUAGUAGAAAGAAAUUAAAUGAAACUAAAAAAAAACAUACUAAAUUGUUGCCAUGUUUAAGCAUUUUACGUCAAACAUGAGGCAGUUACGUAGGAAGUGGCGCCCUCAAUAAUUUGUUGUCGGACUUUACCUGCGUUACAUCGAACUCUUAGAAAUUAAGACAGAGAAUUGUCAAGUGACUCAACGAGCGUCGCAUUUGCUAGAUCUGGAGACACUUUAUAAGAGUCCUUCAAAAGGUAGCUUCACUUCACAGAAAAACGUUAGUUAACAUCAUUUCUCGGGGAUCCGCAUUCGUCGAACCAGUCCUCUUAUCAUAUAACUGUGAUGUUCUAUUAAAACGAAAUUAUCUAAGUUAUUUAAGGUUUAGCCAGUAUUCGAAUUGUAAAUUAUGCAAUUGUUAGUAAUACUAUCGCCAUGUAACUAAGGGUACCCUGGGACAAGAUUUCUGACAUUAACUAAUGUCAAUAUUGAAAACUUGUAUAUUUGUCAAAAGUUUUAGGUGGUCCCUAGUUUACGUCAAUUAAUGCGCUUGAUUUUAACAUAAUAAGUAUUGAUUUGUCUAUAGUGCAGACAUGAGUCAAUGUGAGAAGUAAUUUUGGAAUCGUCAUCCUCCUACGCAGUUUGAAUAUUGUUAUGUAUGUGGUAAAACUCAAGUCUUUUAAAUAAAUUCAGGAUCUUUGGCUAGAAGCACGUGUUGAUUAUAAGGUAUACGAGUUUGCAGAGCAAAUGGCUCUUUGUCUAAAUAUAAAAUUACGACAGGAAGGUUUUAAUAAAUAAAAAUUUAUUAAACUGAAAAGUUAUAAAAGAAUAAUCCAUAUUCAAUAAAUAAACACAAGUCUAUUUAUCUACAUGAACUCGUGUCACGCACGCUUCUAUUUAUACAGAUUUUUCCUAUUUACAUAAACAAAUUGUGAUUAAAAAGAUAUUUCGGUCCGUUCAAGACCAAUCCCUUUUAUUUAAAAGUAUUUAAAAUGUAUUUUUCGACCUAUAUUUGUAAUUAUAGAAAAAUAACUUGUGCCAAUCCGUCAUUAACCGACAGUAUUAUGAUGCAUUAAUGCAUAUUCUAUUUUUUAUUGUUCGUGCGACAUAAAAUAGUGUGUUGAAUUAUUGUAUAAACAUUUCAAAAUUCUCGGAAUAUUAAAAAAAAUAUUCUAAAUACAGGCCAGAUAUUUAUCCGUCAUGAUUACGGUAAAGAUUAUCUAAAUAAUAAAUAAAUUCUACAAAAUGUUCAAAACGCUAUUUAUACUACAGUGCGCAUGUGCAAAUCGUAUAUACCUAACUGUUAAUGCGUUUAACGUGAAUAAAACACUGUUAUCAAUGAAGAACAAAGUUUCUACUAAAUAUAGACCAAGUGAUUUUAACGUUCGCUAUCUCGCUAUUUUUUAUUCAACAUAAUGUGUCCGUUUUAAUCAAUAUAUUAUAAUCGUAACUGUUUGUAGAUGAUAUCAGUAUUUAUAUAAACUUAUAGACAUAAAUGUGUUUCUCGAAUAUUUAAUCUACUGUGUAGUUUCCAAUUUUCUUUCAAUACUUCACUUGGCCAACGAAGAAUUUAUUGACAUUAUAAUAUUUUAAAGAAUGCAAGCUUGUCAUUAUUUAAAAUUAAUUCAGGGUUAGGCACGAUACCAGCAGUGUGUUGAUAUUAUUUGUUUAUUUAUAUACACAGCUUUUUUGGAUUCCUUAGUAAAAUAUUAACAUGUUUUUUUACAUUUUGUGUGCCUAUAUUUUUUCAGCUUGGCCAUAAUAGUGUGGCGACAAUGCACAUUUUUAUAACAGAAUCCCACAUUAUUUUACAAGUGAUAUUUUAAGAUAUUUAAGUUUUGAUUCAAUAUGGCCUAAAUAAACUUAUUCAAAUGUUUUUUAUUGUAAAAUUGAUGUCAAGUGAGUCAAGUGACUAACUUAGACUAGGUACCUAUGUGGCUACCACCAGUUUGACACUGACAUAGACGCUAUCAAGAAGGUAACUUAUUUUCUAUGCACCUCGCUCGUACUCGCAUGGUAGUGCGAGCGAGAUGUGUAGAAAGUAAAUUACGUAGACGUUACUGUAAGUAUAUGUCAGUUUUGACACUGUCAGUGACUCAUGGUACGGUCUCUAAAUAAGUGAUGGCUGAAUAUUACAGUGAUUAAAAUAAGGUACUUAUAGGUCCUUGGCUGCACUAACAGAUUCAUAAUUUAUUUUGUAACUUUUUUGUCGUACCUACUCGUAACAAAGCACUAAAUUAGUAAAUAAUUAUUUCCUAAGUUAUGUUCACAUUCGGAACGGUACUAAUUCGAGAGCGGCGGGAAAACUAAAACACAC